AAAAACAUAGCCCAAGGAUUAGAUCUUAGGUUUCUUCUGCCCACUGAGAGUUAAAUGGCCGCGGUACCCUGACCGUGCAAAGGUAGCAUAAUCAUUUGGCUUUUAAUAGGGGUCUAGGAUCAACGAAGCUUCGGACAAAUACUGUACCAGUAAAAAAAGUUAACUUAAUGAUAAGGUGAAAAUGCCUUUACAAAAAUAAUAGACGAGAAGACCCUAGAAAUUUACAUUAUUUUUCGUUGGGGCGACGAGGUAGCAAUUUAACCUGCCGAAAAUAUGUGACACCUUUGGUUGAAUAUAAAAAUUACUCUAGGGAUAACAGCAUAAUGAUGACGUUUGUGACCUCGAUGUUGGAUUAGGGAAAAUUUAGCCUAGAAGGCAAAAUUUAAGGCUCUGUUCGCGCUAUUAUUCCUACGUGAUCUGA
rnacentral:rRNA from 1 species